GUGGGGGGGGGGUGAUCCAGAAGUGGCUGCACUACUGCCCCUGCUGUUAUAGUCUCCAUCCCAGACAAGAAGCAGGACUAGUUAACCUUCCCCAUGCUUACUUCUUACAUUGAUACCACAAGGCACAUAGAGGCAAGCGAUACGCCCAGAGUCACAUCGCUUCCCAACACACAGAUGGAAUGGGUAGAGAUCACACUCAACAAACAGGGAACCAGGCAAGAAGUCUCCAGGAGACAGAGGAGGGCAAGAGGAAGUGACCCGCCCCGGGCUUAGAAGUCCCAGCUCGUGGGGUGGCCUGCACUAUGGGUCUGCUGCCAUUCACUGAGCGUCAGUCUCUUCAGUGUGACACAAGAGGAUCCUCAGGUUGGCUGUCUGUGGCCAUCCCCGUGCAGGGUUUUUGACCAGCUAUGCUUGCCCUGUCCUGACUAAUAGGGAAAUGGCAGUCAGCUGUGGUAGGGCUGAGGCAGGAGAUCGUUCUUAGUACAGAGACCCUCAGAGCAGCGUCCUUCAGAUGCCAGUGCCUCAGAACAGCCCCUGUCCCUAGGCCUCUCCAGGGAAACCAUUUAACCUGUUGGCCCAGACCCAUAGGAUAAGUGGUCUCCUCUCCUCCAGGGGCCCCAGGGGGACACCAGUCAGCCCUCUCUAGAGUGGGGGAGGGAAGGCCACGAGGAGCUUAACCCUAACAGGAUGAGGGCGCCAUAAUUAGGGUCAGGUGGUUGGCUCAGCCUGCGGAAAUCCCCGGCUUAGUAGGAACAGGGGCCUCAACCUGAGGGAGGGGGUCAGAGCAGAAGUGAAGGGGCAGAGAGGGUCAGGCAUCCCAAGAUUCAAGGGCUUAGACCCCAGCCAUCCCCUGAAAGAGCCCAUUACGGACACCUGCACGUGGUCCCCUCCGUCUCCCAAGUGUCAACCCCCAUGAAAGAAGGGUGACACAAACUAUCCAGCCCCCACCACAGAGGUCCUCAAGCUGGGGUGCACCAGUAUCACCCCCUGCCCGUGCCUUUGCAGAAGGAGGAGAGCCGUGUGAGAAAGGCUGGCCUCUGCAUUCCCAGGACAGCCCAGGCCAGCCCUGUCUGUAACCCUAGUGAGGAUGGAGGAUCGCUUUCCACUGUGGAAUGUAACACCCAGGAGAUGAAACAGGACAGGGCAGAGCAGGGGCCUUGAUGGAGGUGCUCCCCGGCUCCCCCAAAGGCUCUACAACAAGGUCUCAGGCUGGCUAGGCCAGGUGUCCCCAGAUCAUCCCCACCCGGAACCACGACACAGGUUGCCAGCCUGUAUCAUCAUCCAGCAGAAGAAGCAGGUCCGGCGUGAGAAGUGGCUAAGACCGUGCGCAGGGGAACCCCAUACAGUGUUAGAACGAGGAACUGAGCGGAGUGGGGAAUGUGGACCUCCCACCCCCGCUCUGGGACGGGAUCACAGGGGCCUGGAGCACACAGCUGCAUGUGCAGACAGACACACACACAGAAGCACGUGCACACACUCCAGGGCAUGAGUCUCUGCACGUCCCAGGAGCUAAGAGUUCCAGCCCCUUCUCUCCCCUCUGAUAACGUAGAUGUUUCCAGAGGGGCAGACACGUCGCCUUCAGACGAGCCAUGUCAGGCAUGUGCCAGGCCAGCUGCCAAGGCCCAGUGUGCCAGACUUUCUGGGCCCUAGAGGAUGUCCUGCUCCAGGGGUUGCCCUGCUCAGGAUCCGGUGUGGGAUGCCUCAGAGGUCAUGACACUGCAUGGCAGGGCCUGCGGAGGACCGCCACUGGUUUUGUGUAGCACCAGCCAUUACUGGCAUCCCAGGGACACUGGGAACACGGCUGAAGGGUGGAGGAAAACAGAAGUUCUGUAAGGACCAGGAGGGUGGGACAGGGAAGGUGCUGGGUGAGCAAGAAGUGGAGGGUCCUUGCCGGCUUGUGGUUUGGGUUAGAGAAGAGAGGAGAGGAUCUAGCCCAAGGAUGUCGGGGUUCCCCAAAGUGAAAGAGGACAUGAGGACUCCGGCAAGCAGAGCUGUGUGACUUCAGAUCUUUGUGCUGCUUCAGAGCUAGAAGGUGGAGGGGCUGGAGAGAUGGCUGCUCUUCCAGAUGACCCAAGUUCAACUCCCAAGAAGGACAUAGUGGCUCACAGCAUCUAUAAUAAGUUCUGAUGCCCUCUUCUGGCCUGCGGGCACACAUGCAGACAGACCACUCAUACCAAAAAGGAAAAAAAAGUGGAGAGAUGAUCAAGAACAUCCCAUCCAGGAAUGCGUGUGUGUGUGUGUGUGUGUGUGUGUGUGUGUCUGUCUGUCUGUCUGUCUGUCUGUGUCUGUGUGUGUAUGUAUGUGAGAGCACACACGUCUGUCUGUCUGCCUGUCUGCAUCCACACAGAAUAAAGAAAACUAGAAGAGUGAGAGGUGUCAUCACCUGAGCCAACCUAAUACUGCACCUGAGGCCCAUAAGGGAGCAAGAGUCCCCCAGGCCCUCAGCACAGGUUCAGGCAGAACCAGGAGCUACAGUCACUAGGGGCAUGCACCAGGCUGCCCACAGCGGUCUCCUCUCCCUCUGCUCCUCCACAGGCUGGGGAGAAGGGACCACCUUGGGCAAAGGCAACCUGUCACACAGUGAAAUUAUUCAUUUCAGAGCCCCUUUUAUGACCUCAGGAGCCAUGCUGGGGAAAACGGGAGGCGAGCAGCUCCAGGGUCACAAGCUCCUGUAGUUAAGUUGAUCUUUUUUCCCCUUUUAGAUGGGUCCUUACUAUAGAUAAAAAUGAAAUAUCUGUGGAAUGCUAACCUGUCUCAGGCAUGCUUCAAAAUAAUCUAGAGCUGGGGGGCUGGGCGGGGAACCCCCUCCAGGGAACCCCCCACCAACAUUUGUGGAGAUGCCCCUGCCAACAAUAUUGCCACAGCUUCCUGCUUCUUUUCAAUAAGGGACCUUGAAGCCUGGGACUGAGCCCUGUCACUGGACCCAAGAGGCUGGGGCUGGAACAGGCCUCAGUAGGUGUGGCCCUUGUUCCGGGCCUUGCCCUGCACGUGGCCCUGGCUUCUCAAACAACAGCACCUGCCCGAAACAGGAAAUGCCCCCAGCCACGAUCCUUCAGGGAAAGCCACCGCCCCAGCCUCCCACACCAGCUCCUGGCUGCCCAGCCGCCUCCACCAGGACUCCAAGCACCAGCGUUUUGUACAAAGUGCGACACACAGUGGGUGCUCUACGUCUUGCACCAGAUCCCCCCGAAGAAGAUUCUGAACUGAGAACACGUGGCUUUGUGAUUUUGGGGGUGCUCCUUGGAAAACUGGAAGGGAUGUGGAGCAGCAGAGAAGGAAGGGAGAGGCCGUCAAGGGUGCGGUUGCAGAAGAGAGAACUGACUGAUCCCGGUUCUGUCUCAGGGCUGUUCCCACGCCAAGCAAGGGAGAAGGGAAAGAUGCACUUCCAAGACUGCCCACUAUGCGGCAGUAGCUGAGUAGUCUGAAGCGCUCUCAGGAGGAAGUCACAGGACUACAGAGAGGGAGUGGAAACGCAACAGAGGUCGGAGAAAUCUACGGCCCUCAGAAAUGUCAGCUCGACUCAUACUGCAGAAGCUCCCCGUGGCGUCCCGUGUGCUCCUGGAAGAGGAUGGGACCGUCAAGCAAAGAGGAGCUCCUGUAACUUAGGCUGCCAGCCUCCGGCAGGACCUCACAAGAACGAGGGCCAUUAAGCUUGUCUUGGGAGCCGUGCCUGCUGUGUGUCUGACGUGUGUUAGAUCCUUCACAAGAUCUACUCAUUUAACUCUCCCACGGUCCUGUGUAGCACCAAUUUGGAGAGAGGAAACUGAGGCAUGAAUGGCGGGUGGGGCUGCUUUGCUUAACCGCAAAGAGGACGGUGGACUAAAUGCAAAUUAAAACCACAGUGGGAGUGGGGGUGGCGAAGCAAUCCUUUAAUCCCCGCACUUAGGAGGCAAUGGCAGGUGGAUUUUUCUGUUUGGGACUAGCCUGGUCUACAUACCGAGUUCUAGGCUAACCAGAGCUAUGUGGUAAGGUCCUUUCUCAAAAGUAAAUAAAUAAGUAAAUAAAUAAACAUAAAAUAAAGCUAUGGUGAGGAACAAGAGAAAUGGCCCACUGGUUAAAAGUAUAUACUGCUUGAGUGAGGUAACGCUGACACAGAAAGACAAUUAUCACGUGUACUCACUCAUAGGUGGUUUUUAAACAUAAGGCAAAGAAAGCCAGCCUACAAACCACAAUCCCAGAGAACUUAGACAACAAUGCAGACACUAAGAGAGACUUACAUAGAUAUAAUCUACAUGGGAAGUAGAAAGUAGAAAAAGACAAGAUCUCCUGAGUAAA